rnacentral:rRNA from 1 species
GAAAUUAUAUAUGUAUUUUUAUGAAAUUUUUAUUUUUAGGGUAAAAUUAGAAAAUAUAAUUUAAAUUGAUAUUAUUUGUAAGAUUUUUUUAAUGAAUCAGAUUAGUACCUGAGUAAGAAAAAUUAAAUAUAGCAGGAGUAAAGUUUUGUUUAAACUGAAAGAAUAUUGGCAGGCUUUUUAAAUUAUCUUUGGAGGUUGAACUAUAAUUGAGAACCCUCAUUAUUUACUUUAGUUUUAGUUAUAUGUAUGAUCGUUUAUUUUAUUGUUAGAGAUUGUAAGUAAAAGUUUUUUAUUAUAAAAAUAGAUAAAUACUUAGUAUAUACUAAAGGUUGUUUUGACCUACAAUAAUUGGACUUGUGGAAUAAUGAAUUGAUUUUUGUUAUGAAAAUGUAAAAGACAGUAAAUUA